GGAAACCUUUCCCAGAUCAAAUUACUACUUGACAUCUUAAGUUACCAGUUCAACAGUUACAGGUUCUGUUAGCUGCUUUCUCCAUUGACUUCUGUCUAAGCAAGCUGCCCCUAACUCCAGGUAUCUUAUUUGACGACUGCAGUACCUUUCCUUGACCUCUGGCUUUAAGAUGGACCUUGGUUUUGAAAAGCAUUUUACUUAUGCCUUCUUCUGUCCUGAAGUCUAGAAUAAACUUAAGGCCAGUACUUGCUUUCUGGAGCGUGGUCUGGUCAAAGUCCCCAUGGCUGCUGUAAUCAAUCUGAGAAAUCUGGAAGAUCAUGAAUGCCUAUGUAGAUCUCUUAAUUUGACAACUCUCAACACAGCUCAAGUUGGAUUUACUGAGUCCCCACUUUUUUUUUUCCCUUAUUUUAUUUGCUGUCCUCAUCCCUGCCGGAUGCUGAGUAAUCCCCGCCUCAGGAAUUUGUGGAUGUUGAGAUGAUGGACACAUAGGUACCAUGGAUAUGAAGUGAAGUGUACAUAGUAAAUAGAAGAGGGAGUCUAAAAGAAGAAAGUCUAUAAAUUUAGUCAAGAGGUAAACAACAACCAAGGAGAGAGAGUGGACUGGGCCCUUAUAAUAGCUAUUGAGAGAUGACAACGUGCUAUCAGCCCUUGAUCGCUCUUGGCACCUCCUCAGGCCAUGGCGUCCACUCUGGCCGAGCUUCCCGAAGCUCGGCACUGCACUGUGGGAGCCCCUCUCUGGGCUGGCCAAGGCCAGAGCCGGCUCCCUCUGCUUGCAGGGAGGUGUGGAGGGAGAGGCGCAGGCGGAACCCGGCUGCGCGGCGGUCGCAGGCCAGCUCGAGUUCCGGGUGGGCACGGGCUCAGUGGCCCUGCACUUAGAGUGGCAGGCCGGCGCUGCUGGUCCGUGCAGUGAGAGGCUUAGCACCUGGUUCAGCAACUACGGAGGGUGCAGCGGGCCCCCAGCAGUGCCGGCCCAUGGGUGCCACGCUCGAAUUCUCGCUGGGCCUCAGCUGCCUCCCCGCGGGGCAGGGCUCCAGACCUGCAGCCCGCCAUGCCCAAGCCUCCCCCGCCCCGUCGUGGGCUCCCACACGGCCCUACCCUCCCCAACGGGCAUCUCCCCCUGCUCCGCGGGGCCAGUCCCAUCCACCGCCCAAGGGCUGACGAGUGCGGGCGCGUGGCGCCGGACUGGUGAGCAGCUCCGCCUGCGGCCCCAGCGCAGGAUCCACUAGGGGAAGCCAGCUGGGCUCCUGAGUGGGGUGGGGACUUGGAGAACUUUUAUGUCUAGCUGGAGGAUUGUAUAUGUGCCAAUCAGCACUCUGCAUCUAGCUCGGAGUUUGUGGAUGCACCAAUCAGCACUCUGUAUCUAGCUAAUCUGGUGGGGACUCCGAGAACUUUUAUGUCUAGCUAAAGGAUUGUAACCGCACCAAUCUGUGCUCUGUGUCUAGUUUAUCUGGUGGGGACUUGGAGAACUUCUAUGUCUAGCUGGAGGGUUGUAAAUGCACAAAUCAGCACCCUGUGUCUAGCUCAAGGUUUGUAAAGGCACCAAUCAGUGCUCUGUGUCUAGCUAAUCUAGUGCGGACUUGGAGAAAUUUGUGUGUAGCUAAGGGAUUGUAAAUGCACCAAUCAGCACUCUGUGUCUAGCUCAAGGUUUGUGAAUGCACCAAUCAGCCCCUUGUCAAAACGGACCAAUCAGCUCUCUGUAAAACAGACCAAUCAGCAGAAUGUGGGUGGGGUCAGAUAAGUGAAUAAAAGCAGGCUGCCCGAGUCAGCGGCAGUAACGAUCUCUGCUUGGUGGAAGCUUUGUUCUCUUGCUCUUCGCGAUAAAUCUUGCUGCUGCUCACUCUUUGGGUGCGCACUGCCUUUGUGAGCUGUAACACUCACCACGAAGGUCUGCAGUUUCACUCCUGAAGCCAGCGAGACCACGAAGCCACCAGAAGGAAGAAACUCUGGACACAUCUGAACAUCUGAAGGAACAAACUCUGGACACACCAUCUUUAAGAACUGUAACACUGACCGCGAGGGUCCACGGCUUCAUUCUUGAAGUCAGCGAGACCAAGAACCCACCAAUUCCGGACACACGAUGAAGUGGGUUAGGGAAGAAUUUGGAGCAAGGGCUAGGGAUUUGUGAAAUGUGAACUCCCCUCCAGCACCAGGUGAUGAUUGGCACAUGUGGGUCCUCUAAAUGUGGCUGCCCAAAUAUGGGGCAGGCAGGGAGGUUGGGGAUCUAAAAGCUGUCAAGUGUCAAACAUUAAAAAGAGGUCACUCCCUUUAUGCCAACACAGAUUAUGCAUUUUAAUAAACUAAGGCAACUCUUUUGCAUUUUUAUAUUUGAGAACCACUGGUUUGUGGGCCCUUCUGAUGGAGGUGAGCCUCUGGUUGUCUUAAUUCAUGUGCUAGAAGAGGCUUUCAUCUCCUGAUUCCAAACGUGGUCCACACCACAAUUGUUUGGGUCACCUAAAGGCACUCCAGAAGGGCAGUCUGCUCUGACUUCUCACACUCUCAGGAUUGUGCUGAGCCUCUGCAGUGAGUCUGGGCAUUAGGGACAGCAAGGACUUUACAUCAGCUCUGCCGAAACAUCUGGUGGCCCAACUGGCCACUAUGGAAUGGGAUUCUGAAAUGGGCAAUGGUGACCACCAUCUAAUCACUUCCCUUUAUUUUUUUAUGCAUGUUUUUACUUUGCUUUUCCAGUUCAGUGAAAUAAUUUAAUAGGUAGCUCUAAAAUAACUUUUUAUUUGUCUUCCCAAUGACAAGGUCACCAGGAUGUUUUAUUUUCAGAUUACCUUACCAGGAGUAAGUUUCCUGUCGUGCCCAUUUCAGGUUUUUCUUUAAGAUUUCUACUUUUUCCUGGUAGAUGUUUGUUCUACUGUGUUCUAGGGCCUGCUUUUGGAGUGAUACAAAGUAAUUCAGCUAGUGUUUAGGAAUAGGCAGAAUAGUUCUACCUGAAAGACAGGUAAGGUUUCCUGACAGAAAGAAAUCUCCAUGAUUAGAGAACAAAAGCAUCUAGUGAAUGCUUGGAUAACUAUGUUGUUACUUAGCAAGACUGCUAGCAUUUUAAAUGUGCCUAUAUGCAUUAAAUUUUUGUAGUAUCAUUUGAUGUUUUACUUUAAACAGAAGAGAAUAAACCAGUUGGCAGAUUCCUUGGAUUAGUAAAAUAGGCAAUGCCCACUUUAAAUAGCAGGUCAAUAUCUGCAAUCUAAAUGGGUACACCAUAUUUUUCAUUUGAGAAGCACCAAAUUCAGCUUGUGGCACCUGUGAUAUGUUCCAUUUGCCUUUCUCACCAUGGCCCUUAACGAAUCUCUGUAUAUUAACUGAACAUUUACUAUAGUAGCUGUUUUAAGUUCAUAGUUGUAUUACCUUAUUGAGUACUUACCAAAAACCUGUGAAGUCGGUACGAUUAUUGCCCAAUUUUAUAAAGGAGGAGAUUGAGAAGGAGAGAGCCUAAGUAACUUGUCAUACAGCUAGUAAGCGGUAGAACCGAAAGUUGGCAGAACCAGGCAACCUGACUCCAGAGCUGGGCACAUAAACAUUGCAAUGCAUUAUCUAAAAGCAAGUCACUCUCUAGAAUAAUUUUUUAAUAAGACUAUGAGAGACUGGCGGUUGUUAGAAAUCAUCUAAUUAGCUCCUGACAAGUCACAAGAUAGUUCACAUAAUCCCAGAACUCAUUUCACUUGACAAUACAUAGCACUCACUGUCUGCUUCUGAUAAAACUUAGGAAUAGCAUGAUGUCUGAGUAUUAUCUUCUUCCCCUGUAUUUCUUAGUUUUUGUAAAGUGAUUUUGAAUUGUGUUUUUCUGAGGCCCUAUAAUGGCAGGGAAAGGGGUUUGGAAGCACAUAUCUGGGCUCCCCCAGCUUGAACAUGAAUGGUGUUUAUAUGCUCCACAUCUUG
rnacentral:lncRNA from 10 species